rnacentral:rRNA from 1 species
GACGAACGCUGGCAGCGUGCCUAAUACAUGCAAGUCGAGCGGACGGAUGGGAGCUUGCUCCCAGACCGUCAGCGGCGGACGGGUGAGUAACACGUGGGCAACCUGCCUGUAAGACUGGGAUAACUCCGGGAAACCGGGGCUAAUACCGGAUAACUCUUUCCCUCACAUGAGGGAAAGCUGAAAGAUGGCAUCUCGCUAUCACUUACAGAUGGGCCCGCGGCGCAUUAGCUAGUUGGUGAGGUAACGGCUCACCAAGGCGACGAUGCGUAGGCGACCUGAGGGGGUGAUCGGCCACACUGGGACUGAGACACGGCCAGACUCCUACGGGAGGCAGCAGUAGGGAAUCUUCCGCAAUGGACGAAAGUCUGACGGAGCAACGCCGCGUGAGUGAUGAAGGUUUUCGGAUCGUAAAACUCUGUUGUCAGGGAAGAACAAGUACCGGAGUAACUGCCGGUACCUUGACGGUACCUGACCAGAAAGCCACGGCUAACUACGUG